AGUAAGUUUUGUGGUCAAGCUACUAAGGGCGUACGGUGGAUGCCUUGGCGCCAGCAGGCGAAGAAGGACGUGGCUAGCUG
rnacentral:rRNA from 1 species